UCAGAUAUGGUGUAGGUUGGCAACACCGCUUCUAAUCAUGCAUCCGGAAUUCCGACGCAUAAGAAGCAGCCCGAGGUUCGAAUCCCCGUGUCUGAG